AGAGUUUGAUCCUGGCUCAGAUUGAACGCUGGCGGCAUGCCUUACACAUGCAAGUCGAACGGCAGCACGGGGGGCAACCCUGGUGGCGAGUGGCGAACGGGUGAGUAAUAUAUCGGAACGUGCCCUAGAGUGGGGGACAACCAGUCGAAAGACUGGCUAAUACCGCAUACGAUCUAWGGAUGAAAGUGGGGGACCGCAAGGCCUCACGCUCCUGGAGCGGCCGAUAUCUGAUUAGCUAGUUGGUGGGGUAAAAGCCCACCAAGGCUUCGAUCAGUAGCUGGUCUGAGAGGACGAUCAGCCACACUGGGACUGAGACACGGCCCAGACUCCUACGGGAGGCAGCAGUGGGGAAUUUUGGACAAUGGGGGMAACCCUGAUCCAGCAAUGCCGCGUGAGUGAAGAAGGCCUUCGGGUUGUAAAGCUCUUUUGUCAGGGAAGAAAAGGCUYGGGAUAAUACCCUGGGUUCAUGACGGUACCUGAAGAAUAAGCACCGGCUAACUACGUGCCAGCAGCCGCGGUAAUA
rnacentral:rRNA from 1 species